rnacentral:lncRNA from 1 species
GCAGCUCAACCCCGUGCUCCGCAGCCCUGCAGAACCUGCCCCUGGCAUGACGACGCUGAACCUGAACAGCCCUGUGGCUGGCGGAGAACCAGUCGCAGCGAUGCUCAAGUUCCAGACGGAAGAGGACGAGCCACGGGCCAGAAAGUGCUCACCUGCUACCUGCUGCCCCAGCAGCCCCUCGGCCAGCCUCGGGUGAGCCGGGGGGUCCCAUGGGCCUGACCCCCAACGGGCGUCGCCCUGGCCCAGGCUGAGCUGAUGACCCUCCCUCCCUCCGAUAUCCUUCCUCCUUUCUCUCUCUCUCCAGAAAACCUUCUUUCAGAGCAGCGUGAUGACAGCUGGACAGACGCCAACCUCAAUCGGGUCAGCGUAAUCCAGUUCUUGAGGAACCUCAACGCGGCCGAGGACGAGGAGGGGGCCGAACGGCGGGUGAGGCCCUGGCCCGGCGGCCUGGGAGAGGGGGCGUUUGGGCCGGGGCUCCCGGAGCGGACUGACCCCCACCUCUACCCUUGCCCGGCAGGGCUUGCAAACGCAGAUGCCACCCCUCACCCAGUGAACUGAAGGUCAUUAAGAAAGUGAUCGAGGUGCGGCGCCACGAGGCCUUCCCGCGCCCUCGUCCCCCGCGGACCCGCCGGACUCUCCCGCCGCACAGGGCAAGAGACUCAGUGCCGGCUCCCAGCCGAGCCAGGAUUCCCCAGGGCUCUAGCACCAGCAACCGUCUCUGCGGGUGGCCCCGGGGAGCCCGAGGAGCAGAGGACGCAGGAAGCGGGGCCUCAACGGGAGCCCCACGCCAGCCGACAGCGCACAGCCGGAGGAGGCGAGCCCCGGCGCCCAGCGCGGAGCUGGACGAGGGUGCUGGCCGCCGGAGGAAGAGGAGGAGCAGGAGAUGGAAUACGACGAGCCCACAGUGCACUUUGCCGAGGACACACUGCUGCCCAGCGCCGAACCGGCGGGCGUGGCCGGAGAGCGGGAGCCGCACGAGCAAGAGGGAGGAGGGGGCGGAGCGCUGCUGGAGGCCGGCCAACGCCAGAGGCUCUUCCGCAAGGACACCCCGCACUACAAGAAGCAUUUCCGGAUCACCAAGCUGCCCAGGCCCGAGGCUGUGGCGCCCUGCUGCAGGGGCUGCGCCCCGACGGGACCCCCCAGGAGGGGGCCUUUCCCGUCGCCGGCGGGGGCCUGUGUAGCAACGGCCCCGCCCCCAGGACCAGCCGCCGGCCCCUGGGGCCUGCAGGGGGCCGAGGAGGAGGAGGAGCAAGAAGAGGAGGACCGGGAUGAGGAGGACCGGGAGGAAGAGGAGGAGGAGAUGGAAGAAGAUGACGACGAAGACGAGGGGAGGAACGGGGCUCAGGCUGCCCAGCCACCACCAAGGUAAGGUCCGUUCGGUGGGGUCGGGGUAGUGGGAGCAGGG